CGUCGAACGAGCACGUGGUGAGUGGACAUGAUUCGUGCUGCAGUGGUGCCAUUCCGUACAAGUGGACGAAGGCUUUUCCCAGCGACUUCCAAAUGCCACUAUCUCACGACAACCGGUUCGGUCCUAUGCCUGUAAAUUUCCGAAUUUCAUCACCGAUCCAAGUUUCUGCUUGUCUUCGGCUGGGCG